UACGAAGGGGGCUAGCGUUGCUCGGAAUCACUUGGGCGUAAAAGCGCACGUAGGCGGGUCCUUAAGUCGGGGGUGAAAUCCCGGAGCUCAACUCCGGAACUGCCUUCGAUACUGGGGACCUCGAGUCCGGGAGAGGUGAGUGGAACUGCGAGUGUAGAGGUGAAAUUCGUAGAUAUUCGCAAGAACACCAGUGGCGAAGGCGGCUCACUGGCCCGGUACUGACGC
rnacentral:rRNA from 1 species